UACGAAGGGUGCAAACGUUGCUCGGAAUCAUUGGGCGUAAAGCGCACGUAGGCGGCCUCAUAAGUCGGAUGUGAAAUCCCUCGGCUCAACCGAGGAAGUGCAUCCGAAACUGCGAGGCUCGAGUAUGGAAGAGGGUCGCAGAAUUCCCGGUGUAGAGGUGAAAUUCGUAGAUAUUCGCAAGAACACCAGUGGCGAAGGCGGCUCACUGGCCCGGAACUGACGCUGAGGUGCGAAAGCGUGGGGAGCAAACAGG
rnacentral:rRNA from 1 species